rnacentral:rRNA from 1 species
CAGCCGCCGCGGUAAUACGAAGGGGGCUAGCGUUGUUCGGAAUUACUGGGCGUAAAGCGCACGUAGGCGGAUAUUUAAGUCAGGGGUGAAAUCCCGCAGCUCAACUGCGGAACUGCCUUUGAUACUGGGUAUCUUGAGUAUGGAAGAGGUUAGUGGAAUUGCGAGUGUAGAGGUGAAAUUCGUAGAUAUUCGCAGGAACACCAGUGGCGAAGGCGGCUAACUGGGCCGACACUGACACUGAGAGACGAAAGCUAGGGGAGCAAAUGGGAUUAGAGACCCCCGUAGUCCCUGUCUCUUAUAC